CCAAAUUGUGUUUCUAUCUCUUCAGGUAAUGCUUUUCACAUUCAGUCUUUUGUAAUUGCUUAUGCCUAGCAGUCAGAAGGAUUUCCUAUUUUUAGGAAAAAAAAGGCAAGGAGAGAAGAAGGCCUGGUUGUCCUACUUUCUCUUGCUUCGAAAAGCGAUGACCCCCGACAGGACAGCAUGUCAGGGACCUGUUGCCUGACACAACCCUAUGGAGGUCACAGUUGAACCAGAGUUGUUUUCCAGCAAAGGCAUCCCAAGUUACACAGAGUUUAGUAGGAAUGAAGCACAGAGGACGAUGGCGUCUUCUGAAGGUGAUGCACUCACUCAAAGAUACAGACACACAUGCAUCAGAAGAGGCGAGACCUGCAUUAUCCAUGUGUUACAGUCGGAGAAAAAGCAUGUAGAUUGAGAGCAAGAUCGUAAAUGCGCACAAAGAGACGAUGAAAGCAGUGUGGACAACUACAUAGCACAGCGUGUUUCUAAUAAUCUGCAGAUUGUUUAUGAAAUAAGCCAGUUCCAUACCACAGACGACUCUUCAUUGGCAAGCUUAUCGCUCACUGUGUGUUCUCAAAGUCCCUUUGCUUUGUAGUUUAGAAAUUUAAAAAACUAAUAAUAAUAAGAGCCAGAACACAUGCUAUGGUAUGAACAUUUGUGUCCUCCCAAAUUUCAUAUGUCAAAUGUGAUACUAUGAUCUCGAACCUCAAGCCUCCAGAACCAACAACAACCUGUUGUUGACAGGUCACGCAGUCUGUGGUAUUUUGUUAUAGCAGCCUGCGUGGACUAAGACAAUAGGUGAAAAAUCCGAUUUUCCACAGUGCUUUCGGAGCAAUGAGUCACGAAUGUAAAGAAGGGCUGUGUAGGGCACAUCUUCAGGACGCGGGGGACACUCAUCACUGUUGGCCAGCAGUUCUUUGGUUUGAUUAUCAGACAUCACCUUAAAAUACUUAGCAAGCCCUGUAGCUCCUGAGAGAUCAAAGGCCAGGGGACACAACUGUACAGUCCUUAACGGUUCAGAGAGUAGCUGAGCUCCGGAUCACUUGGAAGGAACAUGUAAAAACAUGCGUGAUGGGAAGUGUGACAUGUGUAGUAUGUUUGUCUCAUUCAUGCCCAUCCAUGUGUGGAUUCUCAGUGCAGUUGGUAUUUGUUCCGACUGAUUCACAUACUGCUUGUUAAGCACUGUCCUGGGUGCUAGAAAUACAAAGCUGAAUAAAAUCCGAAUCCUGCCCUCCAGUUGCUAACAGUGUAGUCAAUAGGUGCUAAAGAAUCAAGGGACUUCCAGUGUGUCAUUGCGGGUCAGACGAGGAUACGAAGGGCAAGUAGGUCUUCAGGAAGCUCUUGUGGGAAGUGAUGGGUAAGAACAAGAAGACUGAAAUGGACACUCAGCAAGUCACGUGGACAGAUCUGCCUGAGUCCACUUUGAAGUAAGAAAGUCCACUCUCAGGAAAUGAAUGAACAAAGGAUUCCGGGAAAAACAAGUAAAUUACUGCCCAAAAGAACUAGAAAAACUCAAAACUAGACAGAUGAUUUUGUAUUUACAUGCCCCACAAACUAAAAGUUGCAGAUUUUAUGGGGUUUUUAAGUAAUGUUCAUAGUUUAUAAACUUCAAAAGCCAUUUGGGUUUCAAAUGGUCGUGAUUAAAUAGCUUUAGUGACAAGUGUAAGUCGUAAGACGCUUCAUCCGUGUCCCCACACCACCAUGGACUGACCCCCUUGCUUCCAGAACCUCUUGAGAGGCCUCCUGGGCCUCCAGCUCCUCUUUGCCAUCUGGCUUCUACCGCUUGGCGAGACAGUGUUCUCUGAGGUGAUUUUCGAAUUGCCAUGCCUACUUUAUCUUCAUUGUCACAUUCCCUACUUUUUCUGCUGCUCUUGACCCUGUUGACAGACCUGUCCUUUAUAAACCCUUUGUGGCACAUCUGUUUUUUUGAGUCAGUGGUCCUGGCUGUGGCAUGGGCUUCACGUGUCCUUCCCCCACCAAAUGAGGAUGCACAUGUCCCCUGAAGUUCAGGGAAGGGAGGAGAAGCCCCUACAGGCAGCUCAAGCAGGAAAGGAUUCAUUCAGGGCAUUAAUUGCGUCUUAGCUCCGGCUACUUCAACAAAGUACCACAGACUGGGGGACUUACACAACAGAAAUUUAUUUCUCGCAGUUCUGAAGGCUGAAAGUCAGAGAUCGGGGUGCCAGUAGGGUCUGGUUCUGGUGAGGGCUCUCUUCCCAGUUGCCAACAGCUGCCUUCUCCCUGUGUCCUUACAUGGC
ensembl:lncRNA